CCUACACUCUAAAAACGGCUGGGUUAUUUUUUAACCCAAAAUGUUGGGCUGAGUCUGUUGGGUCAUUUUGUUGGGUUAUUUUAUUUCUUUUUAAACACUUUUGGGUAGUUUCAAUUUACCAGGUGUUGGGUUAAACCUGUUGGGUUGCGUCGCUGGGUUGUUUCAGGCCAGCGCUGGGUUAUUUAACGCGCCUUGAAGAUGUUUAAAUUGCUCCCCAACUGACAUUUUGGAAGAACAACGGGGCAAAGCCACGGCUUUCAACUGUUUUAAGAAAAGCACAUGGAUACAUUUGUGAGAGAAAAACUCAUCGAGUGCAGUCUUAUUGAGGCGUAUAACAGUUGGAACAAACAUGGAAUUCCUUAACCAAGCAGAGUCCACAAAACCCCAUCCAAUUGUAGUGGCGAUUUAAAAAAUGCCAGCAGAUCUCUCAGACAUUGAUCAUAAUCAAUGGACAGGUCACCGUGGCCACCAGAUCCAGUCUGUGUCCAGAUCAGAGGGUCACUGCAGUCACCCGGAUCCAGUACGUAUCCAGACCAGAUGGUGGAUCAGCACCUAGAAAGGACCUCUACAUCCCUGAAAGACAGCGGAGACCAGGACAACUAGAGCCCCAGAUACAGAUCCCCUGUAAAAACCUUGUCUCAGAGGACCACCAGGACAAGACCACAGGAAACAGAUGAUUCUUCUGCACAAUCUGACUUUGCUGCAGCCUGGAAUUGAACUACUGGUUUCGU